rnacentral:rRNA from 1 species
GGGCCCGCACAAGCGGCGGAGCAUGUUGCUUAAUUCGAUGCAACGCGAAGAACCUUACCUAGGCUUGACAUGCACGGAAAUCUCGCAGAGAUGCGGGGUCCGUAAGGGCCGUGCACAGGUGGUGCAUGGUUGUCGUCAGCUCGUGUCGUGAGAUGUUGGGUUAAGUCCCGCAACGAGCGCAACCCUCGUUCCAUGUUGCCAGCACGUGAUGGUGGGGACUCAUGGGAGACUGCCGGGGUCAACUCGGAGGAAGGUGGGGAUGACGUCAAAUCAUCAUGCCCCUUAUGUCUAGGGCUGCAAACAUGCUACAAUGGCCGGUACAAAGGGCUGCGAUACCGCAAGGUGGAGCGAAUCCCAAAAAGCCGGUCUCAGUUCGGAUUGGGGUCUGCAACUCGACCCCAUGAAGUCGGAGUCGCUAGUAAUCGCAGA